UAACACAUAAUCCAGAUGGCUCCUUACGUGUUAAAAAUUGUCACCCCAAUUUCACUCCAAUUUGGAAAAAUAUUGGAGUGACGUUUGAAUAAUCUGAAAUUUUUAGAUUCCUUUUCUAACUUUUUUGGGAGGUUUUGCUUCUCUUGCACAGAUGUCGCUUGCACUUCAGUUGCGUGGUUGCCAAACGUUAUAUCGAAAUAUAUUUCAUUUCAUUAUGAAUAUAUAAAAUUAAAAAUUAUGUAAUUUAUAAACAUGAAAUAGAUAUGGAUGUUAGGUAAUACCGGAUGUUAAAUUAAUAUAUAAAUAUUUAACUUAAUACGUACAUUAUUAUUUUAUUAAUUUAUCGUCACACGUCAUUUACCAGUUGACUAAUUACGAAAAGUUUCAUAUGAUAUUAACCUCAAAAAUGAUCUUUGAAAACAAACAACAACAAAUAACUCAAAGAAAUAACUACAUACUACAUAAUAAUAACUGAUAAUAAUGACUUUUAAUGGUAUAAAGGCUGAUGAAGUUUUAGACAACCAAUACAAGAUUCAGAACUCGGCAUCGCGAUAAACAAGUAAAAUUGUACAUUCAGGAACUCGUUUAAAUAUUAUAGGUUGAUUGAAGAAUAAUCUACAAUUGAUUAGAGCCUAUGACGAUGCGAAGAUAAUUAAUCACCUAACUUUAAGAAACCAGCCUAAA